rnacentral:rRNA from 1 species
CCUACGGGAGGCAGCAGUAGGGAAUAUUGCUCAAUGGGGGAAACCCUGAAGCAGCAACGCCGCGUGGAGGAUGAAGGUUUUCGGAUUGUAAACUCCUUUUGUUAGAGAAGAUAAUGACGGUAUCUAACGAAUAAACACCGGCUACCUCCGUGCCAGCAGCCGCGGUCAUACGGAGGGUGCAAGCGUUACUCGGAAUCACUGGGCGUAAAGAGCGCGUAGGCGGGAUAGCAAGUCAGAUGUGAAAUCCUAUGGCUUAACCAUAGAACUGCAUUUGAAACUGUUAUUCUAGAGUAUGGGAGAGGUAGGUGGAAUUCUUGGUGUAGGGGUAAAAUCCGUAGAGAUCAAGAGGAAUACUCAUUGCGAAGGCGACCUGCUAGAACAUAACUGACGCUGAUGCGCGAAAGCGUGGGGAGCAAACAGGAUUAGAUACCCCGGUAGUC